GGGGUUGUGGCUCAGUGGUAGAGUGCCUGACUCACACACAUGAGACAAUGGGUUCGAUCCUCAGCACCA
rnacentral:tRNA from 1 species